rnacentral:lncRNA from 1 species
CCCCAUUGUGGAAUGACUCGGCUCCGUACACAAUAGUGUCAAUUAGGAGAAGCAUGCAGGCAUGGCCAUGGCAGGAGAAACAGAAGACAGGAAAGCUAUUCUGUUCCGGGCCCUAGUAAGGCGGAGAGUUUCCGCAGGCAGAUCCAUCAGGGGAACAUGCUUCCAGAUUGUUUCUUGCUUUCUAGAAACGGCAAGAAACUUACAAUCCUACGGUUAACCGGCUACCCCUCAAAGGUGAAAGUUACUAGAUUCGAGGCUCCUGACAGAAAGAGAUGAAUGAGAGAAGGGAGCAGGGAUAUUUCGUUAGGCGGGCGAAGCGGUGGUCCGGGUCGAACUACGGUCGCGCAUCAAUAUUGUCAGGAUUGCCGUGGUUUUCGUUGGUAUUUCUUUUCCGGCACCGAAUCUGAACGGACAGGCUGGAACGCUUGCGAAGAUGUAGAGCAGGAGCAGCGUGUGGAAGGAAUGACGAUGUUGGAAGCCAGAAAAGAGUCUUUCGAAUGGCGAGACGUCGUAUUUCAAGCUUUUCAUGCAUGGCGUUUCCCGUCUGUGGGCCCCUUCGAUAAAGAAACUUGGCACCAUGAGAGUGUAGAAGGCGCCUUUGCGUAUUUGCUUUCCCACUUGUACCGUAGUUCUUGCGUUGAUGGCGUUCCCCGCGGAAACCACUUGAGAGAAAAGGUAAAGUCCCCAGAAGCCUGUUCGGAGAAAACGGGGUUCGAACACGCAUGUGUCCUACCGAAUGGUGUGUGUGUUGUGAAGGAUGUACGUGAUUUCGAUGCAUGCAGUAAUCUAUUGUCGGAGUAUAUAUAGUUCACGCCCGAUGACCCCAGCAUUUUCUUAAUUCGUCUCUCGUACGCAGUGUCGACUGCGACAUACAGAGCCACACCACUCCCGUCUGACGAGCAAAAACGCCUUCUCGCACUUGUGCGUGUCGAGUAAAUGGCAAAGGGCCCUGCUGUCAGUAUUCGCUUGCCUCCUGGUCGAAGUCCGCCGCAGGAAAAGCGUGUGCCUUUUUCGAUUUGGACUGUGUCAUCCUCCAGUGA